AAGGGUGUAGUUCAAUGGUAGAACAUGUGCUUGUCAUGCACAAGGCACCCUGGGUUCCAUCCCCAGGUGGCAUUA
rnacentral:tRNA from 1 species